rnacentral:rRNA from 1 species
GACGAACGCUGGCGGCGUGCUUAACACAUGCAAGUCGAGCGGUAAGGCCCCUUCGGGGGUACACGAGCGGCGAACGGGUGAGUAACACGUGGGUGACCUGCCCUCAGCUCUGGGAUAAGCCUGGGAAACUGGGUCUAAUACCGGAUAUGACUCCAUGACGCAUGUCGUGGGGUGGAAAGCCUUGUGCGGCUGGGGAUGGGCCCGCGGCCUAUCAGCUUGUUGGUGGGGUGAUGGCCACCAAGGCGACGACGGGUAGCCGGCCUGAGAGGGCGACCGGCCACACUGGGACUGAGACACGGCCCAGACUCCUACGGGAGGCAGCAGUGGGGAAUCUUGCGCAAUGGGCGAAAGCCUGACGCAGCGACGCCGCGUGAGGGAUGACGGCCUGG